rnacentral:rRNA from 1 species
GACAGAGGCCCCAAGCGUUAGGCGGAAUCACUGGGCUUAAAGCGUGUGUAGGCGGAUCGUUAAGUGUCUUGUGAAAUCCCACGGCUCACCCGUGGAACUGCUGGGCAUACUGGCGAUCUUGGGCCAACUAGGGGCAGUCGGAACAAGCGGUGGAGCGGUGAAAUGCGUAGAUAUCGCUUGGAACGCCGAAGGUGAAAACAGACUGCUGGGGUUGCGCCGACGCUGAGACACGAAAGCGUGGGGAGCGAACGGG